rnacentral:rRNA from 1 species
YAUUCCUACGGGAGGCAGCAGUGGGGAAUAUUGGACAAUGGGGGCAACCCUGAUCCAGCAAUGCCGCGUGUGUGAUGAAGGCCCUAGGGUUGUAAAGCACUUUCAACGGUGACGAUGAUGACGGUAACCGUAGAAGAAGCCCCGGCUAACUUCGUGCCAGCAGCCGCGGUAAUACGAAGGGGGCGAGCGUUGUUCGGAAUAACUGGGCGUAAAGGGCGCGUAGGCGGUCUAUCCAGUUGGGCGUGAAAGCCCUGGGCUCAACCCAGGAAUUGCGUCCAAUACUAAUAGACUAGAGACCGAGAGAGGAUAGUGGAAUUUCCAGUGUAGAGGUAAAAUUCGUAGAUAUUGGAAAGAACACCAGUGGCGAAAGCGACUAUCUGGCUCGGUUCUGACGCUGAGGCGCGAAAGCGUGGGGAGCAAACAGGAUUAGAUACCCUGGUAGUCCACGCCGUAAACGAUGUCUGCUAGGUGUCGGGAGGUUACCUUUCGGUGCCGCAGCUAACGCAUUAAGCAGACCGCCUGGGAAGUACGGCCGCAAGGCUAAAACUCAAAGGAAUUGACAGAAUCUC